rnacentral:rRNA from 1 species
CUUGGUCAUUUAGAGGAAGUAAAAGUCGUAACAAGGUUUCCGUAGGUGAACCUGCGGAAGGAUCAUUACCUAGAGUUGUAGGCUUUGCCUGCUAUCUCUUACCCAUGUCUUUUAAGUACCUUACGUUUCCUCGGCGGGUCCGCCCGCCGAUUGGACAAUUUAAACCAUUUGCAGUUGCAAUCAGCGUCUGAAAAAACUUAAUAGUUACAACUUUCAACAACGGAUCUCUUGGUUCUGGCAUCGAUGAAGAACGCAGCGAAAUGCGAUAAGUAGUGUGAAUUGCAGAAUUCAGUGAAUCAUCGAAUCUUUGAACGCACAUUGCGCCCCUUGGUAUUCCAUGGGGCAUGCCUGUUCGAGCGUCAUUUGUACCUUCAAGCUCUGCUUGGUGUUGGGUGUUUGUCUCGCCUCUGCGUGUAGACUCGCCUCAAAACAAUUGGCAGCCGGCGUAUUGAUUUCGGAGCGCAGUACAUCUCGCGCUUUGCACUCAUAACGACGACGUCCAAAAGUACAUUUUUACACUCUUGACCUCGGAUCAGGUAGGGAUACCCGCUGAACUUAAGCAUAUCAAUAAGCGGA